AGUUCCAAAAACAUGACUAAAACCUCAGAGUUAGGUAGACACUUUUUAUCUUUCUUUUUGCAGAGGAUAGAUUGGCUCAGGUUGUUCGUCUAAGAAAGGGGGAAGAGAUCUUGCAAAAUUAAGAGGUUCUUACUAAUUUCUUCAUGAUGUUAAUUUAUGAAUAUAAGGAAAGGUCCAGCCAAACCUCACGUGGGUUGGUGUGAUAUUCAAGAGAAUUCGCAAGAGAGGGGCGGAUGGAGUUGAGGAUCCAGGUAAGAACCAUAUCCUUUGUUUGGUUCCAUCGGGUGUACUCGGGUGUAUUAGGUUCAGGAGCUUUGAGAGUGCCAUCAACAAAACAGAGUUUGUUUUUGGCAUUGAGGGCUCGGGUCAUGGCUUUUUGCCAUUUGGGAUAGUUGUCACCGGUUAGGAGUCCAUUGACAAGGGUUAAGCUGGGUGAAUCUGAGGGAUGAAGAAGAUAAGGGGAAGGGAGGGAAGGGAGAGACGGGUUGGAGGAUUCAUCCAUGGUGAUGCCAAGAAAACAUAACCUGGCUCUGAUACCAUGUUAAGAGAGAGGGAAAAAGUGUUUGAAUAAUUCUGUAUAUCUUGAUUUUGUGUUCUGCUUUACAAAAUAUAUAAGCGUACAAUGAAACUAAUAAUGGAAAUUUACAUAUAAGGAAACUAUACUAUUGUAACAGUUGCCUAAAAUAAUAAAUCCCUGAUUUUGUGCAAACUAAAUUAUGGGAAGAGAUGAUUCUGUCAAUAGAUGUUGUGUUUGCAAAAUAGUUGCUUCACCUUGCCGACGUUGCCACCAUCAAUCCAAAUCCUCCAAAACCUUCAGAUGUUGAAUCUGCAGCAUUGUAGCUUAGGAGAUGUGUUGGUAAUUGGAACCCUUGGAAACCUAGAAAUUCUUGGCUUUCCUGACUGCGAUAUCGAGGAGUUACCGUCGGAAAUAGGAAAUCUUAGUCGAUUAAAGUUACUUGAUAUGAAGGAAUGUAUUUUUCUAAAGCAAAUUGCAGCUGGUGUAUUAUCUAAUUUAUAUCGAGGAGUUACCGUCGGAAAUGGGGAUGUAGGACUAUGAUGGAAGCAAAUGGAGAAGUAAAAGCUAAUAAUGCAAGCCUUGUUGAACUAAUUCCUUAUUCCAGUCAACUGGUGGUUUUAGAAAUGGAGAAGUAAAAGCUAAUAAUGCAAGCCUUGUUGAACUAUAGAAGUAUAUAGUUGCAAUGAAAUGGAAGAAAUCUUUGGAAAAGAAUUGGGAGAUGAAGAGAAUAGAGAUGUGAUUGCAUUCCCCCUAGUGAAGACCCUCAAGCUCGGGAAUUUACUAAGGUUGGAGUGUUUUUACACCGAAGAUAAUCAUGCUUUUGAGUGGCCAUCUCUGGAUAAAAUAACAAGGGAGUGCAUAUGAAGUCCAGAACUUUUCAACCAAUGGUAGAAGGAGACCUCAAUGCCACCAUACAACACAUUAUCAAAGGAGAGGGGUUGAAUCAAUUUUCUUCUCCACCUUUUUAUGAUAUACGGAGUUAUGAAGCAGAGUACUAUAUAGAUAUUUUUUAUCUUUAGAGGUCGUGGAAAUUCCAAGUCUCCAUAUACAUUGAGCACGUAAGUUUCUAUACUUGACCGAUUCCCAUAUUUUCAUGAGCAUGUAAGUUGAAUCAAUUCCCAUAUACAUGUGUAUAUAUUACUUUUUUAUUUUAUAAGGUCAAUAGUAAUAAAUUAGAUGAAAGAUACAUCUUUGCAGUGAAUGUUAUGCAUAUGAGCAGCACAUGGAGGCAUUUUCUGUAACAUUUGAUGCUGCUGGUAGACGGAAUGAGAGAAUUGAUAAGUUUUGAAAGUAAGCGGGUCCACUUUGAUGCAAUUAAUAGUUUCAGAGGCACAUUGUGAAUUGAGUGAGAGUUUAAGGGGGCAAAGUGAAAUUAACCCUACUAUUUCUGUUUUGGAAUUUGAAAAAGUUGAAUUAUUCAUUUUAUUUUAUAU